ensembl:lncRNA
CAUGCCUAUAGCUCAGAGGCCAGUCUCUCAAUGACCUCUCAGUAAUAAUGUCAUCUUCUAUAGUUUCUGGCAGCGUGAGACGAGGUCCAGGCCUCGACGAACACAGACCUCCUCCACCUUCAGAUAAAUCCCUUCUAAAUGAGGAGCAGGGACACUCCAGCAGCCAGAUACAUCGAUGGACAACAUAGUUGGGCCCACUAGCUCCAAACAAGCCACCAAGCUUAGACACUGAAACCAGACUGACAGGCCCAGUCCAGACCCACAACGAUAUGGCCAGGGAGACAUAAUGAAACCAGACUGACAGGCCCAGUCCAGAACCACAACGAUAUGGCCAGGGAGACAUAAUGAAACCAGACUGACAGGCCCAGUCCAGAACCACAACGAUACGGCCGGUAACAUAAUGAAACCAGACUGACAGGCCCAGUCCAGAACCACAACGAUACGGCCGGUAACAUAAUGAAACCAGACUGACAGGCCCAGUCCAGAACCACAACGACGGUGUCAUAAUGAAAGCACCAACAUAUCCGUAUCAAACAGGAGAGAUUCCAGUGUAAAUAGAUGUAGUGUCUGUGACGAUAGUCCAGGGUUAUGGACCAGCAGCCCCAGCCAGGCUCAGCAACACUAAACCCUCAGAACAAACAGCAGACCACAGUCGUAACCUAACUGGAGAGAGCAAAGUGGCCACAUUCUUAUCAUGCUCUGGUCAAUUCAGCCCUUCUGCACAUUCCUGUGCUGCUAUGGGGAAAGGAGUGGCACGUGGCCAGGGUAUUAGUGGGAAGUGGGGACAGACGGGACAGGCAGGCCUGGGCAUUAGGGCUUUAGUGGGGACAGACAGGACAGCCAGGCCAGGGCAUUAGGGCUUUAGUGGGGACAGACA